GGACCAAGGUCAGUAAAAGAUGGAGAAGAAAGCCUUGUGUCUCAUGCCACAAUUUCCACGAAAUGGUCGGAAAUCUGGGACUGAAAUUGGCAUCGAAUUGUUAUAGAAUACAUUUGCCAGUAAACAGGUGGUGAGAGGUUUGCUCCAGCUGUGAACGCGUCUUCCGUCUUAAACAAUUGACUCAACCGUGCACGAGAAGAUUGGAUAUGCUCUCCAUAAAUGAUGUCAGACUCGUGUUCCACAGCGGCUGCAUCCAUGUCAAGAUUACAUGUCGCAUGUCAGAGUUUGUCCGCUAGUAAAUUUGCAGGGUUGAAACUUAAUAUAAAGUGUAAUAUUUACUUUGGGUUGUGAAUCGGCUGUAGUUAUUUUAAAACUAUUACAAAGUAGUGUUCAGGAAGAGUACUUUGCUACACGUCCAUGUUGUAGUGGUUUAUUUCCGUGUAGGUGUGGAAACAUAAACAACAUGCACAUGUAGGACGACCGGUUUUCUUUUUGUUCGUAACAUAUUUGUGAGGGCAAAUCUGCAAUUUGGCACUUCUCCGUGAACAAUUAUUUAUUAAAAAUUGAAUUCUAGUAUUUAUUUUGGUGAUGUUAACUUUGGAAAGAGAAAACGUCCCAACCGUGCAAAAUGCAUUUAUGGAAGUCUUUGGAAGUUAUAGUGUGUGUUCAGUUGAAGAAAAAAAGAACGAGAUGUGCAUCCACCGAAAAUUAAUAAAUCGCUGUAAUUUAAAUAAUUAUUUUUCAGAAAUUGCAGCACUAUCAAACUGGCAGAAUGUGUCAUUAGUAUUGCAGAACUGUCCACACGCAUUGAAACAAUCUUUCUUUAGUUUGAAUGUUCGAUUGUGACGCAUAUAAAAUAAAGUUCACGUUUCAGUGAUGGGAGGGGUCAAAGGUCACCCUGGUUUUAGAAACGAAACCAAGGAGUUGAAAUUUUCCCGAAAUUAAUAUACAUUUGUUAUUGCAGUAGUGGUAGGUCACAAAGGAA